CUCCCCGUAGUUCAACGGAUAGAACGAGGGACUUCUAAUCCCUAAGUGGAGGUUCGAUUCCUCCCGGGGAGA
rnacentral:tRNA from 1 species